rnacentral:rRNA from 1 species
GCAGAAGCACUCCUACGGGAGGCAGCAGUGGGGAAUAUUGCACAAUGGGCGCAAGCCUGAUGCAGCCAUGCCGCGUGUAUGAAGAAGGCCUUCGGGUUGUAAAGUACUUUCAGCAGUGAGGAAGGUGGGUAUGUUAAUAGCAUAUUCAUUUGACGUUAGCUGCAGAAGAAGCACCGGCUAACUCCGUGCCAGCAGCCGCGGUAAUACGGAGGGUGCGAGCGUUAAUCGGAAUUACUGGGCGUAAAGCGCAUGCAGGUGGUUUGUUAAGUCAGAUGUGAAAGCCCGGGGCUCAACCUCGGAAUUGCAUUUGAAACUGGCAAACUAGAGUACUGUAGAGGGGGUAGAAUUUCAGGUGUAGCGGUGAAAUGCGUAGAGAUCUGAAGGAAUACCGGUGGCGAAGGCGGCCCCCUGGACAGAUACUGACACUCAGAUGCGAAAGCGUGGGGAGCAAACAGGAUUAGAUACCCUGGUAG